rnacentral:rRNA from 1 species
ACUCCUACGGGAGGCAGCAGUGGGGAAUAUUGCGCAAUGGCCGAAAGGCUGACGCAGCGACGCCGCGUGGGGGAUGAAGCAUUUCGGUGUGUAAACCCCUGUUGCUCGGGACGAACAAUCGGCUUUAGCCGAUCUGACGGUACCGGGUGAGGAAGCACCGGCUAACUCCGUGCCAGCAGCCGCGGUAAUACGGAGGGUGCGAGCGUUGUCCGGAAUCACUGGGCGUAAAGGGCGCGUAGGCGGUCUGCUAAGCGUGUGGUGAAAGCUCGGGGCUCAACCCCGAGUCUGCCAUGCGAACUGGUGGACUAGAGCACUGUAGAGGCAGGUGGAAUUCCGGGUGUAGCGGUGGAAUGCGUAGAGAUCCGGAAGAACACCGGUGGCGAAGGCGGCCUGCUGGGCAGUUGCUGACGCUGAGGCGCGACAGCGUGGGGAGCAAACAGGAUUAGAUACCCUGGUAGUCCACGCCGUAAACGAUGGGCACUAGGUGCUUGGGGGAGCGACCCCCCGAGUGCCGGCGCUAACGCAUUAAGUGCCCCGCCUGGGGAGUACGACCGCAAGGUUGAAACUCAAAGGAAUUGACGGGGGCCCGCACAAGCGGUGGAGCAUGUGG